rnacentral:piRNA from 1 species
GCCAGGAAGUAGGCACAAAGUAACCCAGGA